UACGUAGGGGGCAAGCGUUGUCCGGAAUCAUUGGGCGUAAAGAGCGUGUAGGCGGCCCGGUAAGUCCGCUGUGAAAGUCCAGGGCUCAACCCUGGGAUGCCGGUGGAUACUGUCGGGCUCGAGUCCGGAAGAGGAGUGUGGAAUUCCUGGUGUAGCGGUGAAAUGCGCAGAUAUCAGGAGGAAUACCGAUGGCGAAGGCAGGUCUCUGGGCUGACACUGACGCUCAUGCACGAAAGCGUGGGGAGCAAACAGG
rnacentral:rRNA from 1 species